rnacentral:snoRNA from 1 species
AACUAGAUGAUGUGGGUCUGCCGACCCAACCAUGAUGCGGACUGAAUUUUAUUUUGAGGUCAAAUCUAAUGGAUUCUGAUGGUU